UUGAUCUCAAAUCAGGUAGGACUACCCGCUGAACUUAAGCAUAUCAAUAAGCGGAGGAAAAGAAACUAACAAGGAUUCCCCUAGUAACUGCGAGUGAAGCGGGAAGAGCUCAAAUUUAAAAUCUGGCGUGCCUAUGGUCGUCCGAGUUGUAGUCUGGAGAAGCGUUUUCCGUGUUGGACCGUGUAUAAGUCUCUUGGAACAGGGCGUCAUAGAGGGUGAGAAUCCCGUCUUUGACACGGACUACCAAUGCUUUGUGAUGCGCUCUCAAAGAGUCRAGUUGUUUGGGAAUGCAGCUCAAAAUGGGUGGUAAAUUCCAUCUAAAGCUAAAUAUAGGCGAGAGACCGAUA
rnacentral:rRNA from 1 species